rnacentral:rRNA from 1 species
AGCUCCAAUAGCGUAUAUUAAAGUUGUUGCAGUUAAAAAGCUCGUAGUUGGAUUUCUGGUUGUUGCGUGCUCCCCUGCACUUGAUUGUGUUGUGGGUUUUGCAUGCGACUCCAUCCUUGGACAAAGCCUGUGUGGCAUUCGGUUGUCGUGCAGGGGAUGGCCAUCUUUUACUGUGAAAAAAUUAGAGUGUUCAAAGCAAGCUUAGGCUGUUGAAUAUAUUAGCAUGGAAUAAUGAGAUAGGACCUUGGUACUAUUUUGUUGGUUUGCGCACCUUGGUAAUGAUUAAUAGGGGUUGUUGGGGGUAUUCGUAUUCCAUUGUCAGAGGUGAAAUUCUUGGAUUUUUGGAAGACGAACUAGUGCGAAAGCAUUUACCAAGGAUGUUUUCAUUAAUCAAGAACGA